rnacentral:rRNA from 1 species
GGAAGUAAAAGUCGUAAACAAGGUCUCCGUUGGUGAACCAGCGGAGGGAUCAUUACCGAGUUUACAACUCCCAAACCCAUGUGAACAUACCUUACAGUUGCUUCGGCGGAGCCACCCCGGCGCCCGGAACCCAGUUUCGCGGCCCGGACCAAGGCGCCCGCCGGAGGCCACAAACUCUUCUGUUUUUACAGUAUCUUCUGAGUGUGCCGCAAGGCAAAAACAAAUGAAUCAAAACUUUCAACAACGGAUCUCUUGGUUCUGGCAUCGAUGAAGAACGCAGCGAAAUGCGAUAAGUAAUGUGAAUUGCAGAAUUCAGUGAAUCAUCGAGUCUUUGAGCGCACAUUGCGCCCGCCAGAAUUCUGGCGGGCAUGCCUGUUCGAGCGUCAUCUCAACCCUCGGUCUCCCUCCGGGAGAGACCGGCGUUGGGGACCGGCACUUACCCCGCCAGCCCCGAAAUGAAGAGGCGGCCCGUCCGCGGCGACCUCUGCGUAGUAACUCCACUCGCACCGGGACCCAGGCGCGGCCACGCCGUAAAACCCCCAACUUCCGAAUGUUGACCUCGAAUCAGGUAGGAAUACCCGCUGAACUUAAGCAUAUCAAUAAGCGGAGGAAAAGAAGCCAACAGGGAUUGCCCUAGUAACG